rnacentral:rRNA from 1 species
GUGAGGAAUUUUCCGCAAUGGGCGAAAGCCUGACGGAGCAAUGCCGCGUGAAGGAUGAAGGCCUAUGGGUUGUAAACUUCUUUUCUCAGAAAAGAAUUAUGACGGUAUCUGAGGAAUAGGCAUCGGCUAACUCUGUGCCAGCAGCCGCGGUAAGACAGAGGAUGCAAGCGUUAUCCGGAAUGAUUGGGCGUAAAGCGUCUGUAGGUUGUUUAAAAAGUAUUCUGUCAAAGAUUAGGGCUUAACCCUAGAUAGGCAGAAUAAACUUUUAAGCUAGAGUUUGGUAGAGGCAGAGGGAAUUCCCGGUGGAGCGGUGAAAUGCGUAGAUAUCGGGAGGAACACCAAAGGCGAAGGCACUCUGCUGGGCCAAUACUAACACUGAGAGACGAAAGCGAGGGGAGCAAAUGGGAUUAGAAACCCCUGUAGUCC